AUGGCUCAGGACGAACGCUGGCGGCGUGCCUAAUACAUGCAAGUCGAGCGAACAGAGAAGGAGCUUGCUCCUUCGACGUUAGCGGCGGACGGGUGAGUAACACGUGGGCAACCUACCUUAUAGUUUGGGAUAACUCCGGGAAACCGGGGGCUAAUACCGAAUAAUCUGUUUCACCUCAUGGUGAAACACUGAAAGACGGUUUCGGCUGUCGCUAUAGGAUGGGCCCGCGGCGCAUUAGCUAGUUGGUGAGGUAACGGCUCACCAAGGCGACGAUGCGUAGCCGACCUGAGAGGGUGAUCGGCCACACUGGGACUGAGACACGGCCCAGACUCCUACGGGAGGCAGCAGUAGGGAAUCUUCCACAAUGGGCGAAAGCCUGAUGGAGCAACGCCCGCGUGAGUGAAGAAGGAUUUCGGUUCGUAAAACUCUGUUGUAAGGGAAGAACAAGUACAGUAGUAACUGGCUGUACCUUGACGGUACCUUAUUAGAAAGCCACGGCUAACUACGUGCCAGCCGCCGC
rnacentral:rRNA from 1 species